UACGGGGGGAGCAAGCGUUGUUCGGAUUUACUGGGCGUAAAGGGCGCGUAGGCGGCCUCUGCAAGUCGACUGUGAAAUCUCCGGGCUUAACCCGGAAAGGUCAGCCGAUACUGCAGGGCUAGAGUGCAGAAGGGGCAACUGGAAUUCUUGGUGUAGCGGUGAAAUGCGUAGAUAUCAAGAGGAACACCUGAGGUGAAGACGGGUUGCUGGGCUGACACUGACGCUGAGGCGCGAAAGCUAGGGGAGCAAACAGG
rnacentral:rRNA from 1 species